rnacentral:rRNA from 1 species
UACGUAGGGCGCAAGCGUUAUCCGGAAUUAUUGGGCGUAAAGAGCUCGUAGGCGGUUUGUCGCGUCUGCCGUGAAAGUCCGGGGCUCAACUCCGGAUCUGCGGUGGGUACGGGCAGACUAGAGUGUGGUAGGGGAGACUGGAAUUCCUGGUGUAGCGGUGGAAUGCGCAGAUAUCAGGAGGAACACCGAUGGCGAAGGCAGGUCUCUGGGCCAUUACUGACACUGAGAAGCGAAAGCAUGGGGAGCGAACGG